UGAGCACGGAUGCUAAGCAAGCAAUGGAC
rnacentral:piRNA from 1 species